UGGACUCUCAGACGAAGCCAGUCCCCGUGGCCUCUGCGCGACCGGUCUCCCAGCGCAGGUGAGUUCGGUUUGAACGCUACCUGCAAGAUCAAUUGCCUACGUGUCACUUAGAGACACCCGAAUGCAGUUAAAAGGAUUGUGAUCAAACAGGGGCAUUCAGCGCACCCCCCACCUCUCUGCCCUCCCUCUACAAAAGCCACGUCAGGAAAAGGAAGAGGAACACUUCAAUGACCCGGGACAGUGGUGGGUCAGACACGGGACAGCUCAAGUUAUAGAUCCUGCAGAAGGCGGAUGGAAGGAUCUCCGGGAGACUGAAAGAUUCCCUCGCCUCUCUCUCUUUCUCGCUGUUAAUAGCUGGACGUUUAUCCCCUCUCCUGGAAGCGUCUAGAGGAACCGAGCAAACUCUACCCCUGCCUGACGCCGAGCCAAACAAACAAUACCUGUUGUAAAAGUUUUGUUCGUUCGGCUCGCGUUACGCAGGGGUGGUAUAUCUGCGGAGAAACCCCCCCCCCCCCAACACUUCCCUCCACCUCCCAUGACCUUGCAGAGAAUUGACCCUUGUACACACCAACCUUCCUACAAACCCAGCGAUGGAUGCUGAGUGGCAAUGGAUCUCGUGAAAUGUCUUCACCACCUCAACAAGGUGACUGAUCCCAUAUGUUCCAUAACUUUUUCCAUAACAUAGCUUUUAAAGAAAGGGUCCUACCUUGUAAGACGAUCAAAGUUGUACUGGGAAACGACUGGAAUAGAUUACAAAUGUGAUUGUGUUUCUUUUUCUUAAAAAAAAAUAAACUUGGCAAAUGUUG